GAACGCGUGCGACACGGCCAGACGCUUGGACUUGCGGUCCGGGAACUGCGCGAUCACGGCUUCCACCGCCGCCUCGUCCCCC
rnacentral:tRNA from 1 species